GAACGGGAGCUUUGUGCCCUGGAUGUGCAUCCCACAAAUCUCCAUCAACUGCAAGAUGCUAUCCUAUCAAUAUGGGCCAACAUUUCUAAAGAAUGCUUUCAGCACCUUGUUGAAUCAAUGCCACGUAGAAUUAAGGCAGUUCUGAAGGCGAAAGGGGGUCAAACAUAGUAUUAGUAUGGUGUUCCCAAUAAUCCUUUAGGUGAGUGUAGGUCACCGUUGUCGAGAUUUAUUACAAUCACACUAGUUGUUAUUUUUGCCAGGAAAUCAUUCGGGAGUGUUUUUUGACUAGAAUAAUGAGAAAUAAACCUGUAUAUAUUCAAUCGCAUUUGCUUCCAUUUAUUUUUGAUCAGCGCUUCACUACACAACAUACAAACUUUUGCAUAUGCGCGCAUUAUGUAUUCACACAUUUAACUCAUAUUUCUUUAAAUAGAAUAGAACUAUAAUUUCUCAAUGACUUGCAGAAACACGAUUCUCUGCCGAUCCAUCAUUCAUACUGCGUGAUCAUAAUUCCCACAUGGUGACGGUAAACUUCUGCGUUCUGUCUCAUAAUGCACUUAUGCGUCAGUUUAUUAUAUGCAAUAUCUGCAUUAGUGCAAGUCUGCAGCCAGACCCUCUUGGACGGUUGAGUGGGUUUUGUGUAUUAGUCUGGACUGUCACUCCCGCACUGACUUUCUGAAAAGCCCUGCAUGGAUUGAGGCGUGUGAACCAGGGCAGGGAUGCCUAGACCAGAAGGGGGGGAAUAAAGUAAUUUAAAUAUUAGACACAGACUUUAAAUUCACCAAACUGAUUCAGAAUUGUGCUAGGGAAGCUGGUUAAGCUGUUGUGGAGAAGACAAUAAAACCAGAAGUCAUCACGGGGGUUUGGUACAGGAAAUCCUGUUGUGAUUUCCAUCAAAUAUAAAGCUGCCACACAGUCACAGAGCAAGAAUCAGAUGAGAAAUGCUGCAGAUGAGGAUCCCACACACACAGAAGGAGACGAUGGCUCAGUUUUCAGUAAGUGUGAUUGUGCGGAUGGUCGUGGCUCUCACAGUCGUCUCAUCUUUGUCUAUUUUACAGAAAGUAUGGGAAAGGAAACAUCAGUAGUCGCAGGAUAUUCCACUGUUACCAUUGUCUGUAGACUGAAGGUCAAAGUGCAAGCAACCAGCAAAAAACAUUCAAGAGCUCAAUUUUACUACUUCUGAGGCAGGUGUUCCUGCAAAAAUAUUUCUUCAUGGAGGAGAAUACUGCAUAUUUAUAUGCAUAUUAUUUUGUUUGCUCUUUAAAUCUAUUACAUUAAAAAAGUGAAAUAGUGAAAUCU
rnacentral:lncRNA from 1 species